UACGUAGGGGGCAAGCGUUGUCCGGAUUUAUUGGGCGUAAAGCGCGUGUAGGCGGCCAGGUAGGUCCGUUGUGAAAACUCGAGGCUCAACCUCGAGACGCCGGUGGAAACCGUAAGGCUAGAGUCCGGAAGAGGAGAGUGGAAUUCCUGGUGUAGCGGUGAAAUGCGCAGAUAUCAGGAAGAACACCCGUGGCGAAAGCGGCUCUCUGGGACGGUACUGACGCUGAGACGCGAAAGCGUGGGGAGCGAACAGG
rnacentral:rRNA from 1 species